CCACGCCACGAGCCAGUGUCCUCUGGUGUGUUGUGGGGUGACGUAAAUUCGUGUCGGAUUCUUCACCAUCUCUAAGACUUAUUUACGAUCAAGGUGAAACUGGACUACCGGAGCGACACAAGAUGCCUGUUGGGACAAAGCGGUGUGAGUAGAGAUGAUGGUGGCGGUAUUUGGCAAUGCAACAAUGUAGGCCCUGCCGCCCUGCCGACGCCUGGCCCGGUUAUGGAGGCCACCACGGGUUCCUUCAUCUCAAACUACCAUGUCUGUGUCAAACCCACACGUCCGCCCAGGCGCCAGGACGUUCCCUCUUUAAUGACCAUAGCACACACACCACCACCACCGCCACAACUGCCUCCACCGCCACCACCACCACCGCCACAACUGCCCCCACCGCCACCACC